UACGGAGGGUGCGAGCGUUAAUCGGAAUUACUGGGCGUAAAGGGUGCGUAGGUGGCUAAUUAAGUUAUCUGUGAAAUCCCCGGGCUCAACCUGGGCAGGUCAGAUAAUACUGGUUAACUCGAGUAUGGGAGAGGGUAGUGGAAUUUCCGGUGUAGCGGUGAAAUGCGUAGAGAUCGGAAGGAACACCAGUGGCGAAGGCGGCUACCUGGCCUAAUACUGACACUGAGGCACGAAAGCGUGGGGAGCAAACAGG
rnacentral:rRNA from 1 species